CGCGUAGGCGGUCUUUUAAGUCAGAUGUGUAAUCCCCGAGCUUAACUUGGGAACUGCAUCUGAGACUGGAAGGCUAGAGUACUGGAGAGGGUGGUGGAAUUCCUCGUGUAGCGGUGAAAUGCGUAGAGAUGAGGAGGAACACCAGUGGCGAAGGCGGCCACCUGGACAGUAACUGACGCUGAGGCGCGAAAGUGUGGGUAGCAAACAGGAUUAGAUACCCUGGUAGUCCACGCUGUAAACGAUGAACACUUGGUGUGGAGGGAGUUGACCCCUUCCGUGCCGGAGCUAACGCGUUAAGUGUUCCGCCUGGGGAGUACGGUCGCAAGGCUGAA
rnacentral:rRNA from 1 species